GGCUGGUCUAAAGGUAGUGAGUAUCUCAUUUGAUUGUUCUAGUGAGUUACAGAUCAAACUCCUUGUUCUUGUCUUUUCCCUCUUCUCACUACGGUGCUUGACUAGUCAAAA
rnacentral:Y_RNA from 1 species